rnacentral:piRNA from 1 species
UUGCAACGGAAUUUUAAAUGU